AUACUCACAAAGAGAGAGAAAGAGAGAGAAAAUAAGAGAAAGAGAGAGAUUCAAAUAGAGAUAUUAAAGAAAUCAUAUUUGUUGACAGAACCGGGAAUUUCUUCCACUAACUCUUUUUCUUUGUCUUCACAUCAUUGCUCUCUUGCUAAACUGU
rnacentral:ribozyme from 1 species